UCUUAAAGCAUUGUGUCUAUGCCCGGGGCACAAUAGCUAAUUUGUUAAGGGUUUUGUCAUUUCAUAAGCAUAUUCAUAUUCAAUAAAUCAAUGGACUUUUUCGCAUUCAAAUAUUGCGCUCUUUAUCUUUCCUGUCGUCUUUCAAACAAGCUAUGCUUUCUUACACACACUCACGUAACAAAUUGCAGAUCCGUAUCCACUCUGGAU
rnacentral:lncRNA from 1 species